rnacentral:rRNA from 1 species
AACGAACGCUGGCGGCAUGCCUAACACAUGCAAGUCGAACGAGAUCUUCGGGUCUAGUGGCGCACGGGUGCGUAACGCGUGGGAAUCUGCCCUUUGGUUCGGAAUAACAGUUGGAAACGACUGCUAUACCGGAUGAUGACGAAAGUCCAAAGAUUUAUCGCCAGAGGAUGAGCCCGCGUAGGAUUAGCUAGUUGGUGUGGUAAAGGCGCACCAAGGCGACGAUCCUUAGCUGGUCUGAGAGGAUGAUCAGCCACACUGGGACUGAGACACGGCCCAGACUCCUACGGGAGGCAGCAGUGGGGAAUAUUGGACAAUGGGCGAAAGCCUGAUCCAGCAAUGCCGCGUGAGUGAUGAAGGCCUUAGGGUUGUAAAGCUCUUUUACCCGGGAUGAUAAUGACAGUACCGGGAGAAUAAGCUCCGGCUAACUCCGUGCCAGCAGCCCGCCGUAA